GGUCUUGGGGUGUUACACGUGGGGUUGCAAACCCCAAGAUGCAGUUAGUUCCUGCCGAGGCUU
rnacentral:tRNA from 1 species